AAGGGCCCUAUUCUUGAACGCGUGACUACCGUGUGAGUGAGUGAGUAUGACGUCAUCUCGAGCGAUUUUCAUAUUUUCGUAUUCUUGACGCUUUAAACCGUUCGAGUGGGUGACUCACACUGUCACAUGUCGAGCGCUUUCAGUCGAUCAGUUUUUUUUCAGUGACUUGAGUUGUGCGAUCCUUUUAAACUGAUUUUUGGUGAUCUUACUCGUAUAUUUUCCUAAAGUAUAGGCAAUAAAUAAAACCGUCACGCUUUUCGAAGGAAGUGACUAGUCCAAAAAAUCUUUUGUCGAUCUGGUCUUGAAGCAGUGCUACACUGUAUAA